rnacentral:misc_RNA from 1 species
UGGAGUUCUUGCAAGACUUUUGCUGUUAUGGGUUUGGUUUUCUCUGCUGCUGAGUGUACCGUUGAGAAGGUACGGGCAAAGCAUGACAUUACAAAUACAGCAGUUGCAGGGUGCGUAACAGGUGGUGCGUUAUCAGCUAGAGGUGGACCACAAGCUGCGUGUAUGGGUUGUGCCGGCUUCGCGACAUUUUCGGUCUUGAUAGAGAAGUUCUUGGAUAGAUAUCACUAGACAAGAUUGAUCAUUCUUCAGCCUGGAUGAUGUAACCUACACCAACCUACUUUUAUAUUUAGAAUCAGAUUCUUUUUGUUCAAAUUCUAUGACAGUGCACAGUGUUGUAGAUGUGCCAUGCCGCGCACUUUUAUAGUCG